AUUGAACGCUGGCGGCAUGCCUUACACAUGCAAGUCGAACGGCAGCACGGGUGCUUGCACCUGGUGGCGAGUGGCGAACGGGUGAGUAAUACAUCGGAACAUGUCCUGUAGUGGGGGAUAGCCCGGCGAAAGCCGGAUUAAUACCGCAUACGAUCUACGGAUGACAGCGGGGGACCUUCGGGCCUCGCGCUAUCGGGUUGGCCGAUGGCUGAUUAGCUAGUUGGUGGGGUAAAGGCCUACCAAGGCGACGAUCAGUAGCUGGUCUGAGAGGACGACCAGCCACACUGGGACUGAGACACGGCCCAGACUCCUACGGGAGGCAGCAGUGGGGAAUUUUGGACAAUGGGCGAAAGCCUGAUCCAGCAAUGCCGCGUGUGUGAAGAAGGCCUUCGGGUUGUAAAGCACUUUUGUCCGGAAAGAAUUCCUUGGCCCUAAUACGGCCGGGGGAUGACGGUACCGGAAGAAUAAGCACCGGCUAACUACGUG
rnacentral:rRNA from 1 species